rnacentral:lncRNA from 1 species
GUGUUUUGUGCUUCCUCUUUGGAAGUGGAUCACUAUUACUAAAGCAAUAGGAUUAGAUUGUGUGGAAGUUGGAAGGAGGAGGAUUUGGUAGGGCGGGUGUGUUUAUGUUCAACUAAUUCAUGCUUUAACUUACUGUAUAUUGAUCUUAAGUCUAUGACCUUUGAGAGAUCCCCAAGGCAUUUAUGUAGAGAGAAUUUAAAGAUGUUAUUUGGAGAACAAAUGUUACUUAAGAUGAAAACCUUUUGAAUUUUCAAGUAAAGCUAAGCAAUUUCAAUAUUUGCAUUACUGCUGGAGAUUUUGAAACGUUUCUUGAAUGAAGAGCAUGUGCACAUCUCAUUGUCACUAUGCCUCUCUGAUAUUCCUGCUUGUAUAAAGUUGAAUAAUGUACUGUGGUGUGAUCCCUUAUCCUUUUAACAGUCAGACUUUUCUCCUUGUAAGUAAAACUACUACAAUUGAUGAGUGUGAUUGCCAAGCGCUGGAUGUUUAGCUGCUCAGUGUUCUGUCAUAACUGUUCUAUUUAAGGGAGAAACAGUGUAUAUUGAAAUAGAAAUGCUUUUGUUUUCUGUCUCUAAUCUGAAUUUUUGUUUUGAAUUAAGGACAGUCUUAAAACCAAUUGCAAAGGAAAAUCAAAAAUGUCAAAAUUCAUUAUUUUCCACUGUAAGAAAAAUUUCUUGAGUUUAGUAUUUUGUCUCGUGUUUCUUAAAUAUAAAUGUCUUUAUAGCAAACAUUCAGUUCUUUGUGAGGAGAUGACAUCUUGCGUAUUAAAUUAGUUCUUUGUGUUAUUUUGAUAUUUAAAAUAAACAGAGUUCUUUGGUCCUAGUAAAGCACA